rnacentral:rRNA from 1 species
UGGGGAAUAUUGCACAAUGGGCGGAAGCCUGAUGCAGCAACGCCGCGUGAGGGAUGACGGCCUUCGGGUUGUAAACCUCUUUUAGCAGGGAAGAAGCGAAAGUGACGGUACCUGCAGAAAAAGCGCCGGCUAACUACGUGCCAGCAGCCGCGGUAAUACGUAGGGCGCAAGCGUUAUCCGGAAUUAUUGGGCGUAAAGAGCUCGUAGGCGGUUUGUCGCGUCUGCUGUGAAAUCCCGAGGCUCAACCUCGGGCCUGCAGUGGGUACGGGCAGACUAGAGUGCGGUAGGGGAGAUUGGAAUUCCUGGUGUAGCGGUGGAAUGCGCAGAUAUCAGGAGGAACACCGAUGGCGAAGGCAGAUCUCUGGGCCGUAACUGACGCUGAGGAGCGAAAGGGUGGGGAGCAAACAGGCUUAGAUACCCUGGUAGUCCACCCCGUAAACGUUGGGAACUAGUUGUGGGGUCCAUUCCACGGAUUCCGUGACGCAGCUAACGCAUUAAGUUCCCCGCCUGGGGAGUACGGCCGCAAGGCUA